UACGUAGGGCGCAAGCGUUAUCCGGAAUUAUUGGGCGUAAAGAGCUCGUAGGCGGUUUGUCGCGUCUGCUGUGAAAGACCGGGGCUCAACUCCGGUUCUGCAGUGGGUACGGGCAGACUAGAGUGCAGUAGGGGAGACUGGAAUUCCUGGUGUAGCGGUGAAAUGCGCAGAUAUCUGGAGGAACACCGGUGGCGAAGGCGGCAUCCUGGACCGGCAUUGACGCUGAGGCGCGAAAGCCAGGGGAGCAAACGGG
rnacentral:rRNA from 1 species